rnacentral:tRNA from 1 species
GGUGCCAUCGACUAAUUGGCUAGGUCACGACCCUUUCACGGUCGUAAUGUUGGGUUCAAGUCCCACUGGCAUCUCCA